UAGGGAAUCUUCCACAAUGGACGCAAGUCUGACGGUGCAACGCCGCGUGAGUGAAGAAGGUUUUCGGAUCGUAAAGCUCUGUUGUUGGUGAAGAAGGAUAGAGGCAGUAACUGGUCUUUAUUUGACGGUAAUCAACCAGAAAGUCACGGCUAACUACGUGCCAGCAGCCGCGGUAAUACGUAGGUGGCAAGCGUUGUCCGGAUUUAUUGGGUGUAAAGCGAGCGCAGGCGGAAUGAUAAGUCUGAUGUGAAAGCCCACGGCUCAACCGUGGAACUGCAUCGGAAACUGGCAUUCUUGAGUGCAGAAGAGGAGAGUGGAAUUCCAUGUGUAGCGGUGGAAUGCGUAGAGAUAUGGAAGAACACCAGUGGCGAAGGCGGCUCUCUGGUCUGCAACUGACGCUGAGGCUCGAAAGCAUGGGUAGCGAACAGG
rnacentral:rRNA from 1 species